rnacentral:rRNA from 1 species
GUGCCAGCAGCCGCGGUAAUACGAAGGGGGCUAGCGUUGCUCGGAAUUACUGGGCGUAAAGGGAGCGUAGGCGGACAUUUAAGUCAGGGGUGAAAUCCCGGGGCUCAACCUCGGAAUUGCCUUUGAUACUGGGUGUCUUGGGUAUGAGAGAGGUGUGUGGAACUCCGAGUGUAGAGGUGAAAUUCGUAGAUAUUCGGAAGAACACCAGUGGCGAAGGCGACACACUGGCUCAUUACUGACGCUGAGGCUCGAAAGCGUGGGGAGCAAACAGGAUUAGAU